GGUCGGCCACCACCCUUGGUGGCGGAGCCAUGGCGGCAGCGCCGCAUGAUGGGGGUCCCGGCUAGGGCGUAGCAAGGGUUGCAGGAAUGAUGGUGACAGGGAGGAGGGGGUGUGCAAUGGAGUGGGGUUUGGCUCGGGCAGUGGUAGUAUGUGACGGUGAUUAGGUGGUCGUCGGUCUCACGUCGCCACCAAUCACCUGGUGGCGGGGAUUCUGUGAUGAGGUGGAAGAAGAGAGAUAGAGAGGGUGAAGGUGGUGAUUGAAAUCAGUUUGGUGAAGAAUCGAUGUAACUGGGAUCGAGAUCUGUAAUCUGUGCAAAUUUCAGUGAACAUUUUGUAUAGAUAGAAGGUAUCUUCUUUGAUUGGUAAUAUUCAUUGAUUACAGUGUUUGAAAAAAUCAAAAUCUCCAGGUGAUAUUCAUUGAUUAAAGUGUUUGAAAAAUCAUAAUUGGUUAUUCAAGACAACAACUUUACUAAAGAGUGUGUGUUUUAGUGAGAGAAACGAUUCUGAUUUUGGAGAGAGAGAACUGAGAUUGAGGGAAAUUGAAAGAAGAAAGUGAAAGAGGAUAAGGGUUUGGUCUGGGUUGGGUGUGGCUGUGGCAACUGGAAAUGAAAUAAGAAAAUAGAUAUUUUAAAUAUAGUGGUAGAAUUACUAAUAUACCCUCAUGUUCAAGUCACAUGUUAUAUUUAACUGAAAAUUUUAACUUGGUUUGU
rnacentral:lncRNA from 1 species